GUGUGUGUGCGUGUGCGUGUGUGUGUGUGUGUGUGUGUGUUUGUGUGUGUGUGUGUCUAAUGUGCUCCUCCAGUAAAGGCAUUAUUUGCCCGUGGGAUCCAGUGGCUUCCUCUUCAGCUGGAUCAUCCAAUCAGAGUGUUGCAGAGAGACACUGCCACCCAAUCAGAGCGUUGCAGAGAGACACUGCCACCCAAUCAGAGCGUUGCAGAGAGACUCCGCCACCCAAUCAGAGCGUUAAACAACUACUCUAUUAUCCAUUGACAUCCUUAGAGAGGAGGUCUAUUACCCAAUCAGAACUGUAGAGAGGACGUCUAUUACCCAAUCAGAACUGUAGAGAGGAGGUCUAUUACCCAAUCAGAACUGUAGAGAGGACGUCUAUUACCCAAUCAGAACUGUAGAGAUGACGUCUAUUACCCAAUCAGAACUUUAGAGAGGACGUCUAUUACCCAAUCAGAACUUUAGAGAGGACGUCUAUUACCCAAUCAGAACUGUAGAGUCUAUUACCCAAUCAGAACUGUCGAGAGGACGUCUAUUACCCAAUCAGAACUGUAGAGUCUAUUACCCAAUCAGAACUGUCGAGAGGACGUCUAUUACCCAAUCAGAACUGUAGAGUCUAUUACCCAAUCAGAACUGUCGAGAGGACGUCUAUUACCCAAUCAGAACUUUAGAGAGGAAGUCUAUUACCCAAUCAGAACUGUAGAGAAGAAGUCUAUUACCCAAUCAGAACUGUAGAGAGGAAGUCUAUUACCCAAUCAGAACUUUAGAGAGGAAGUCUAUUACCCAAUCAGAACUGUAGAGAAGAAGUCUAUUACCCAAUCAGAACUGUAGAGAGGAAGUCUAUUAGCCAAUCAGAACUUUAGAGAGGAAGUCUAUUACCCAAUCAGCCUCUGUGAUGCUACUGGGCCAUUUCUACAGUCCACACCCAAGCAACUCAAAAUGUCAACUGGGAUGUGCCUGUGUGUGUGUGUGUGUUUGUGUUUGUGUUUGUGUGUGUGUGUGUGCAUGUUUACUUAUGUGUGUGUGUAUGUGCAUGUCUACUUAUGUGUGUGUGUGUGUGCAUGUCUACUUAUGUGUGU
ensembl:lncRNA